UCGCCUGUUUAGCAAAAACAUCACUGGGAGAAUUUUUGACUCUCAGCAAUGCCUGCCCAGUGCGGUUAGUAGCCGUAAACGGCCGCCCUAGCGUGAGGGUGCUAAGGUAGCGAAAUUCCUUGCCUUUUAAUUGUAGGCCUGCAUGAAUGGCUUGACGAGGGCUUAACUGUCUCUAGUUUAAAAAUCUAAAUUGGACUAAAGGUGAAGAUACCUUUAUAAAAAAGUCAGACAAGAAGACCCCGUGCAACUUUUAAAGUCAGUUUGUUAAGAAACUUAAGAUUUUUAGGUGGGGCGCCUACCGAGUAAUAUUAACCUCUGUGUAUAAUAAAAACUUUCAAGUAUAGACCCGGCAAUGCCGAUCAUAGGAGAAGUUACGCCGGGGAUAACAGGCUAAUCCAUUAGUAGAGAACGUAUUGGCUAAUGGGAUUGGCACCUCGAUGUUGAAUCAGGGAUGAUACCUUUAAGGCGUAGAAGCUUUAAAAGUG
rnacentral:rRNA from 1 species